AGCAGCCGCGGUAAUUCCAGCUCCAAUAGCGUAUAUUAAAGUUGUUGCAGUUAAAAAGCUCGUAGUUGAAUUUCGAGAUCAGUACGCUGGUCGUGCCUUUGGUAUGCACUGGUGUCACUGGUUUCUCCCUUCUGAAGAACUGUCAUGCCAUUCAGUUGGUGUGGCGGGGAAUCAGGACUGUUACUUUGAAAAAUUAGAGUGUUUAAAGCAGGCUCGCGCUUGAAUACAUUAGCAUGGAAUAAUGAAAUAGGACGUUUGACCCUAUUUUGUUGGUUUCUAGGAUCGACGUAAUGAUUAAUAGGGAUAGUUGGGGGCAUUAGUAUUCAAUUGUCAGAGGUGAAAUUCUUGGAUUUAUUGAAGACUAACUACUGCGAAAGCAUUUGCCAAGGAUGUUUUCAUUAAUCAAGAACGAAAGUUAGGGGAUCGAAGACGAUCAGAUACCGUCGUAGUCUUAACCAUAAACUAUGCCGACUAGGGAUCGGAUGAUGUUAAUUUUUAAUGACUU
rnacentral:rRNA from 1 species